AACGAACGCUGGCGGCAUGCCUAACACAUGCAAGUCGAACGAGAUCUUCGGGUCUAGUGGCGCACGGGUGCGUAACGCGUGGGAAUCUGCCCUUUGGUUCGGGAUCACAGAUGGAAACGACUGCUAAUACCGGAUGAUGACGAAAGUCCAAAGAUUUAUCGCCAGAGGAUGAGCCCGCGUAGGAUUAGCUAGGUGGUGUGGUAAAGGCGCACCAAGGCGACGAUCCUUAGCUGGUCUGAGAGGAUGAUCAGCCACACUGGGACUGAGACACGGCCCAGACUCCUACGGGAGGCAGCAGUGGGGAAUAUUGGACAAUGGGCGAAAGCCUGAUCCAGCAAUGCCGCGUGAGUGAUGAAGGCCUUAGGGUUGUAUAGCUCUUUUACCCGGGAUGAUAAUGACAGUACCGGGAGAAUAAGCUCCGGCUAACUCCGUGCCAGCCGCCGCAGUAA
rnacentral:rRNA from 1 species